rnacentral:rRNA from 1 species
GACCGGAGUGGACGCAUCACUGGUGUUCGGGUUGUCAUGCCAAUGGCACUGCCCGGUAGCUAAAUGCGGAAGAGAUAAGUGCUGAAAGCAUCUAAGCACGAAACUUGCCCCGAGAUGAGUUCUCCCUGAGACUUAGAGUCUCCUGAAGGAACGUUGAAGACGACGACGUUGAUAGGCCGGGUGUGUAAGCGCAGCGAUGCGUUGAGCUAACCGGUACUAAUGAACCGUGAGGCUUAACCUUACAACGCCGAAG